GAUGAACGCUGGCGGCGUGCCUAAUGCAUGCAAGUCGAGCGAACGGACGAGAAGCUUGCUUCUCUGAUGUUAGCGGCGGACGGGUGAGUAACACGUGUAUAACCUACCUAUAAGACUGGGAUAACUUCGGGAAACCGUAGCUAAUACCGGAUAAUCUUUUGAACCGCAUGGGUCAAAGGUGAAAGACGGUCUUGCUGUCACUUAUAGAUGGAUCCGCGCUACAUUAGCUAGUUGGUAAGGUAACGGCUUACCAAGGCAACGAUGCAUAGCCGACCUGAGAGGGUGAUAGGCCACACUGGAACUGAGACACGGUCCAGACUCCUACGGGAGGCAGCAGUAGGGAAUCUUCCGCAAUGGGCGAAAGCCUGACGGAGCAACGCCGCGUGAGUGAUGAAGGUCUUCGGAUCGUAAAACUCUGUUAUUAGUGAAGAACAUAUGUGUAAGUAACUGUGCACAUCUUGACGGUACCUAAUCAGAAAGCCACGGCUAACUACGUG
rnacentral:rRNA from 1 species